UUUAAAGAUGACUCUUAUCAGACUUUUCACAACUUUAAACUCCACGUUUACCCAUGUUUAGUGCCAAUAGACGUGAAUGUGACACAGAGCUCCUAUCUGGCAGAGAAGGACAACAACAUCACUCUGGAGUGGACCUUUACCUCCACACCUGACUGCUCCUCAGACGUCUUGACUAUCUCUUGUGUCCGUGUGAAUGAUGGCGUCAUGUUAUAUGAAAAAGUAGCAGGUGUUGUAGCGUCAGAGAUUCAGGAUGAACAGUUUUCAGGACGAGUCCAGAGUGACAAAGACGUCCUCAGAGAAGGACGAAUCAGACUCCAUGUGUCAAAUCUCAAGAUUGAAGACUCUGGAGUUUAUAAUUGUAUAGUGAGGAUAGGUAAUUGCCUUGGCUCAAAGAAGUGUGCUCUCAAAGUCACUGAGUCUCUUUCACCGAUGCACCAUUACCCAACAACUGCCCCCCCGCCUCCAGAGAAUCAGAGCAGAACAAGACUACUAUAUAAAGUAUCACCAGGGAUUAUUUUUUUCCUGAUCAUUUGUUGCAUUAUUUUUGUGAAGAUAAGAAAAAAAACUGAAUCUCUGCUCCCUGAGACAAUACCUCUCCGUGAAAGGAGGGCUCGGUCCUAGGGACCAUACGUAGAUGCUCUUGUUUUUUUGUGGACUUGAUAUGGGUAAAUUCUACUGCUGGAUACAUUUCUAACAAUGUUAUUUGCAGAUGUAAAACAUAUAACUGACUUAAAGAGAAAUAGCAAUGAGAACUUUGAAUAAACUUUACAAGCAUUUUGA